GGAUAUGAGUGCGAUCUGGCUGCGACAUUGUUACCGUACUGAUUGCCAGGGUUGAUUUGGCUGAUCUGGCUGGCUAGGCAGGUGUCCCCUUCCCCCUUCACCACUCCGUGUGCAUCCCUCCACAAUGCUGCACACUUGGUCAAACAGGACGAUCUUCUCCAAUAGAGGAGGACCAUUCUUCGUUCAAGGGUAUACAAUUAGCUAUUCUCUCCUGUUAGAACUUCCAAAUAAGCUCUCAAGAAUUCAAAGAUGACUAAGAUAGCCUGUUCUUACGGCGGCUAUUAUCU
rnacentral:snRNA from 1 species